GACGAACCGGACAAACGUUAUUCGGAAUCACUGGGCUUAAAGGGUGCGUAGGCGGCGCUGAAAGUUGGGUGUGAAAUCCCUCGGCUCAACCGAGGAACUGCGCCCAAAACUGCAGUGCUUGAGGGAGAUAGAGGUGAGCGGAACUUAGGGUGGAGCGGUGAAAUGUGUUGAUAUCCUAAGGAACACCGGUGGCGAUAGCGGCUCACUGGGUCUCUUCUGACGCUGAGGCAGGAAAGCUAGGGUAGCGAACGGG
rnacentral:rRNA from 1 species